rnacentral:rRNA from 1 species
CACGUAGGGCGCAAGCGUUGUCCGGAAUUAUUGGGCGUAAAGAGCUCGUAGGCGGUCUGUUGCGUCCGCUGUGAAAACUCGGGGCUUAACCCCGAGCCUGCAGUGGAUACGGGCAGACUAGAGGUAGGUAGGGGAGAAUGGAAUUCCCGGUGUAGCGGUGAAAUGCGCAGAUAUCGGGAGGAACACCGGUGGCGAAGGCGGUUCUCUGGGCCUUACCUGACGCUGAGGAGCGAAAGCGUGGGGAGCGAACAGC